rnacentral:rRNA from 1 species
AUUGAACGCUGGCGGCGUGCUUAACACAUGCAAGUCGAGCGGUAACAGGCGUAGCAAUACGUGCUGACGAGCGGCGAACGGGUGAGUAAUGCUUCGGAAUCUUCCUCGUAGUGGGGAAUAACCUGGGGAAACUCAGGCUAAUACCGCAUACGAACUACGGUUGAAAGCAGGGGAUCGCAAGACCUUGCGCUAUGAGAUGAGCCGAAGUCGGAUUAGCUAGUUGGUGGGGUAAUGGCCUACCAAGGCGACGAUCCGUAGCUGGUCUGAGAGGACGACCAGCCACACUGUGACUGAGACACGGCCCAGACUCCUACGGGAGGCAGCAGUGGGGAAUAUUGGACAAUGGGGGCAACCCUGAUCCAGCGACGCCGCGUGUGUGAAGAAGGCCUGCGGGUUGUAAAGCACUUUUAGUGGGGAUGAAAAGCCAAGGGCUAAUACCCUUUGGUCUUGACCUAACCCAAAGAAAAAGCACCGGCUAACUCUGUGCCAGCCGCCGCCGUAAUAC